AGGAGCAACAGCCCCAGUGGCGGGGCAGCUCUAGAGCCCUGGAGUCAGCCCCCGCAGUAGCUCCAGAGCUCUCGGUCUGCAGGGCCUGGAGGCUCCGGGGCGGG
rnacentral:pre_miRNA from 1 species